GAAGACCAGAAUGUGUAGAUGUGAAUUGGAAAGUGGCAACAUAUACCUAAUUCAGACUUCAGAGAUUCAGUUAGACAUGAUUUAUGGAAAUUGGAUUCAUUAAUUUUUGGACAUUCAAAAAUAUACCAUACUACUAUAGUACUAUUGUCUGAUUGUGAAGAAGCAGGUAGUCAAUUUUAAUAGUGCAGAUCUUCGAAGACCAGAAUGUGUAGAUGUGAAUUGGAAAGUGGCAACAUAUACCUAGUUCAGACCUUAGAGAUUUAGUUCGACAUUAUUUAUGGAAAUUGGAUUCAUUAAUUUUUGGACAUUCAAAGAUAUACCAUACUAUUGUCCAACUGUGAAGAAGUAGGUAGGUAGCCAAUUUUAAUAGUGCAGAUCUUCGAAGACCAGAAUGUGUAGAUGUGAAUUGGAAAGUGGCAACAUAUACCUAGUUCAGACUUCAGAGAUUUAGUUAGACAUGAUUUAUAGAAAUUGGAUUCAUUAAUUUUUGGACAUUCAAAACUAUACCAUACUACUAUAGUACUAUUGUCUGAUUGUGAAGAAGCAGGUAGCCAAUUUUAAUAGUGCAGAUCUUCGAAGACCAGAAUGUGUAGAUGUGAAUUGGAAAGUGGCAACAUAUACCUAGUUCAGACCUUAGAGAUUUAGUUCGACAUUAUUUAUGGAAAUUGGAUUCAUUAAUUUUUGUACAUUAAAGAUAUACCAUACUAUUGUCC